rnacentral:tRNA from 1 species
GUGGAUAUAGCUCAGUUGGUAGAGUGUUUGCCUUGUAUGCCCAAAGCCCUGGGUUCAAUCCCUAUCCCCACA